GAGGACCGAACCGACUAAUGUUGAAAAAUUAGCGGAUGACCUGUGGCUGGGGGUGAAAGGCCAAUCAAACCGGGAGAUAGCUGGUUCUCCCCGAAAGCUAUUUAGGUAGCGCCUCGUGAAUUCAUCUUCGGGGGUAGAGCACUGUUUCGGCUAGGGGGCCAUCCCGGCUUACCAACCCGAUGCAAACUGCGAAUACCGAAGAAUGGUAUCACGGGAGACACACGGCGGGUGCUAACGUCCGUCGUGAAGAGGGAAACAACCCAGACCGCCAGCUAAGGUCCCGAAGUCAUGGUUAAGUGGGAAACGAUGUGGGAAGGCCCAGACAGCCAGGAUGUUGGCUUAGAAGCAGCCAUCAUUGAAAGAAAGCGUAAUAGCUCACUGGUCGAGUCGGCCUGCGCGGAAGAUGUAACGGGGCUAAACCAUGCACCGAAGCUGCGGCAGUGACACGCAAGUGUUAUUGGGUAGGGGAGCGUUCUGUAAGCCGGAGAAGGUGGAGCUGUGAGGCCUGCUGGAGGUAUCAGAAGUGCGAAUGCUGACAUAAGUAACGAUAAAGCGGGUGAAAAACCCGCUCGCCGGAAGACCAAGGGUUCCUGUCCAACGUUAAUCGGGGCAGGGUGAGUCGACCCCUAAGGUGAGGCCGAGAGGCGUAGCUGAUGGGAAACAGGUUAAUAUUCCUGUACUGAAUGUGACUGCGAAGGGGGGACGGAGAAGGCUAGGCCAUCCGGGCGACGGUUGUCCCGGUUUAAGCGUGUAGGUGGGAGGAGCAGGUAAAUCCGCUCUUCUGUGAACACUGAGGCGUGAUGACGAGCCGUUACGGCGGUGAAGUGGUUGAUGCCCGGCUUCCAGGAAAAGCCUCUAAGCCUCAGGUCAUAUUGAAUCGUACCCCAAACCGACACAGGUGGUCAGGUAGAGAAUACUCAGGCGCUUGAGAGAACUCGGGUGAAGGAACUAGGCAAAAUGGUGCCGUAACUUCGGGAGAAGGCACGCUGGCGGUAGGUGAAGGAGUUUGCCUCCGGAGCUGAAGCCAGUCGCAGAGACCAGCUGGCUGCAACUGUUUAUUAAAAACACAGCACUGUGCAAACACGUAAGUGGACGUAUACGGUGUGAC
rnacentral:rRNA from 1 species